rnacentral:rRNA from 1 species
GAUGAACGCUAGCUACAGGCUUAACACAUGCAAGUCGAACGGACUCAUAUUGAAACCUAGUGAUUUAUGAGUUAGUGGCGGACGGGUGAGUAACGCGUGGAAAACCUGCCGUAUACCGGGGGAUAACACUUAGAAAUAGGUGCUAAUACCGCAUAAGCGCACAGCUUCGCAUGAAGCAGUGUGAAAAACUCCGGUGGUAUACGAUGGUUCCGCGUCUGAUUAGCUAGUUGGCGGGGUAACGGCCCACCAAGGCAGCGAUCAGUAGCCGGCCUGAGAGGGUGAACGGCCACAUUGGGACUGAGACACGGCCCAA